AGCAGUGAGGAAUUUUCGUCAAUGGGGAAACCCUGAACGAGCAACGCCGCGUGCAGGAUGAAGGUUUUCGGAUCGUAAACUGCUUUUCUGUGGGACGAGCAAGGACGGUACCACAGGAAGAAGCCCCGGCUAACUACGUGCCAGCAGCCGCGGUAAUACGUAGGGGGCGAGCGUUGUCCGGAUUUAUUGGGCGUAAAGCGUCCGCAGGCGGUUUGUCAAGUUUGGGGUGACAGUUCCUGGCUUAACUGGGAAAGUGCUUCAAAAACUGGCAGACUUGAGGGUCUCAGAGGAAAGCGGAAUUCCGGGUGGAGUGGUGAAAUGCGUAGAUAUCCGGAGGAACACCGAUGGCGUAGCAGCUUUCUGGGAGACACCUGACGCUCAGG
rnacentral:rRNA from 1 species